rfam:Erinaceus europaeus unplaced genomic scaffold scaffold00258, whole genome shotgun sequence
GGAUGUGAGGGUAAUCGGGCUGCAACAUCUGUCACCUCAUUAUUUUCCAGGGUUGGUUCAGCUCAUCUGGGUGGUUGGAUGGUUGCCUCUUUUCUCCCUCACCACACCAUGUGAGUCUCUUCUGAGGCUGCACUUAAAGAGGAUGCAGGAUGUCCAAGAAGAUGACCUUCCCUGAGUAGAGAUUGACCUGUCUUCAGUUAUACAUAUAAGAGCAGCUGUGCUCAAGGUCCCAAAAAGAUAUAGAUAUUAGUUGUGGAAAAGUCUUUUAAUGUAUAGAAACUAGAGAAAAGCACCAAGUUAACUACCCUUAUUUAGUUCUGAAAGUCUUGAAGUAGAUAUUCUA